AAAGCGUGCGCAGGCGGUUUUGUAAGUUUGUCGUGAAAGCCCCGGGCUCAACCUGGGAAUUGCGAUGAAGACUGCAAGGCUUGAAUCUGGCAGAGGGGGGUAGAAUUCCACGUGUAGCAGUGAAAUGCGUAGAGAUGUGGAGGAACACCGAUGGCGAAGGCAAUCCCCUGGACCUGUACUGACGCUCAUGCACGAAAGCGUGGGGAGCAAACAGGAUUAGAUACCCCGGU
rnacentral:rRNA from 1 species